UGCAAGUCGAGCGAGGCGUGUAGCAAUACACAGUCGAGCGGCGAACGGGUGAGUAACACGUGGAUGACCUGCCCUUUAGUGGGGAACAACCGAGGGAAACUUCGGCUAAUACCGCAUAAGACCGAGAGGUGAAAGGGGGCUCGCAAGGGCUCUCGCUGAAGGAGGGGUCCGCGUCCGAUUAGCUAGUUGGUAGGGUAAUGGCCUACCAAGGCCACGAUCGGUAGCCGGCCUGAGAGGGUGAUCGGCCACACUGGAACUGAGACACGGUCCAGACUCCUACGGGAGGCAGCAGUGGGGAAUUUUGCGCAAUGGGCUAACGCCUGACGCAGCAACGCCGCGUGGAGGAUGAAGGUCUUUGGAUUGUAAACUCCUGUCAGCAGGGAAAAAGCGAUAGGUGCUCAUACCACCUAAAGUUGAUUGUACCUGCAGAGGAAGCCCCGGCUAACUCUGUGCCAGCAGCCGCGGUAAUACAGAGGGGGCAAGCGUUAUUCGGAAUUAUUGGGCGUAAAGGGCGCGUAAGCGGCUUGGCAAGUGGAUGGUGAAAUCCCUCGGCUUAACCGAGGAACUGCCAUCCAGACUGCUUUGCU
rnacentral:rRNA from 1 species